CCGCUUUCGAGAGCACAAGGUGAUUCUACAGAGUUUUUAUCAAUAUCUUUCCUGUAUACAGCUUUUAUAUUUUAUCAUGUCAUCAUGAAGACCUAUGGAAUCACGGAAAAACAAGUGUCUGACCAAACAACAACCUUUCUAAAAUUGGGCUCCAAAAAGACAGGGUGGGAGAAGAAAGAAGUUGAAGUUUUCACUAUUAAUAAAUAAAUAUAUUUUAAUUUUA